ACACAAUAACUCAAGGGACAUAACUGUGGCUGAUCUUGUUUUUGUAGCAAAAACACAUUGAGAUGCGUCCGAGAAUUCAAAUCAGACAAGUCACUAAUCACAUGAAAUAUUUACAAGAACAGAUUCGAAUUGUGGAGCCUGUUAUUAAAGCUAUGAAAAAUAGUCACGUGUAUGUAACAGAUGUGCUCGUUAUGAAGAGCUUGAUGAUCCCACACUUGUCUGUGACAAUUUGAACUUUUAAUCAGUACGUGGAUGCUACGGUCUAGAUUUUAUCAAACACUAGGAAUAUUUGUAUCAUCACACGAUGGUUUUUAUCUUGCCUGUGUGACACUUGAUAAAAGCACCGAUAAAUUCAUUAGAGUUGGUGCGUGGUCUGGAGAUGGGUAUUGUUC